UGGACUGUAAGGUGCCGAACUUCUAUAGUUAUGAAGUUGCGGUGGAAUGUAAUAUACAGGAUUUAAUAUAAAAAUGAAAAUAAAUAAAAAUAGUAUGAGAUACUAUUUUUAUUGGAUUUAGAGAAGUGAAAUAUGAGUUAGAACCGACCCGUGCUGAAAUCGGAGUGAAAACAGAAAAUUUAGAAUUUUCUGUGAGAAACGGGGCAGAUAAAUUAGCAGAAAAUGUACAGUGUUAGAAAAUUAUGAAAACUGGAGGAUAUGUCAGAAUUAUUUUUAUGAGGCUAGAUUUAAAGUUUCAUACCAUUCUGACACCC
rnacentral:lncRNA from 1 species